CAAGUCGAACGCAGUAGCAAUACUGAGUGGCAGACGGGUGAGUAACAUGUGGGAAUCUGCCUUGUGGUUCAGGACAACAUUGGGAAACUGAUGCUAAUACUGGAUAAGCCCUUACGGGGAAAGUUUUAAUGCCAUAAGAUGAGCCCGCAUUUGAUUAGUUAGUUGGUGAGGUAAUGGCUCACCAAGACAAUGAUCAAUAGCUGAUCUGAGAGGAUGAUCAGCCACACUGGGACUGAGACACGGCCCAGACUCCUACGGGAGGCAGCAGUGGGGAAUCUUGCACAAUGGAGGAAACUCUGAUGCAGCGAUGCCGCGUGAGUGAAGAAGGCCUUUGGGUUGUAAAGCUCUUUUGUAGGGGAAGAUAAUGACUGUACCCUAAGAAUAAGGUCCGGCUAACUUCGUGCCAGCAGCCGCGGUAAUACGAAGGGACCUAGCGUAGUUCGGAAUUACUGGGCGUAAAGCGCGCGUAGGCCGUUGAGUUAGUUAAUUGUGAAAUCCCAAAGCUUAACUUUGGAACUGCAAUUAAAACUGCUCGACUAGAGUUUGAUAGAGGAAAGCGGAAUACAUAGUGUAGAGGUGAAAUUCGUAGAUAUUAUGUAGAACACCAGUUGCGAAGGCGGCUUUCUGGAUCAACACUGACGCUGAGGCGCGAAAGUAUGGGUAGCAAAGAGGAUUAGAUACCCUCGUAGUCCAUACCAUAAACGAUGAUUGCUAGAUGUUGGAAAUUUAUUUUCAGUAUCGCAGCUAACGCAUUAAGCAAUCCGCCUGGGGAGUACGACCGCAAGGUUAAAACUCAAAUGAAUUGACGG
rnacentral:rRNA from 1 species